AAUGAACGCUGGCGGCAUGCCUAACACAUGCAAGUCGAACGAACACACGGGGAUCUUUCUCCUCUGACGUUGUCGCCCGACGGGUUCGUAACUCUUGGAUAACCUACCUAUUAGACUUGGCUAACUACGCGGAACCGUAACUAAUACCGGAUAAUAUAUUGCACCGCAUGGUUCCAUCGUUAAAUUCGGUUUUGCUUUCACUAAUAGCUGACUCCGCGCCGCAUUAGUUAGUUGGUGAGGUAACGGCUUAACAACGCAACGAUGCGUAGCCGACCUGAGAGGGUGAUCGGACACACUGGAAGUGAGACACGGUCCAGACUCCGACGGGAGGAAGCAGUAGGGAAUCUUACGCAAGGGGCGAAAGGGGGACGGAGCAAAGCCGCGGGAGUGAUGAAGGUGUUCGGAUCGUAAAGCUAUGUUAUUAGGAAAGAAGAAAAGUGGAAGUAACUAGGCACGUAAUGACGGUACCUAAAGAAAAAGCCACGGCUAACUACGUG
rnacentral:rRNA from 1 species